rnacentral:lncRNA from 1 species
GCAUUUUUACCCGCAAAUUUUCUGAAAAGGUUUCAUUUUCUUCCCUGAAAGGCUUCAUACUCAAAAAAUAUUUCUGUAAACAUCAAAAAUCUCUUGCUAUUCCAAUCUUUGAAACAUGGUUUGAAAUAAAACAUUCUUAGCCGGAUCUGUGGGAUUUCAAGCUGAUUCUUAGCCUUUUAGUUUUGGGUCUUUGAUUCAUUUCUGGGUCUGUUGCUGCUGUUCUGCUUGGCAAUGUUGAAGUUGGGUUUUCUAGCUACUUCUAGUUUUCUUGAAUUUUAUUUGGUCAUUUCUUUUUCAGUCAACACUUUAGUUUCCAGGUAUGUACAAUGUCUACCUUAAAUGAAAUCAGUUUUGUGCUAAAAAUCUGCAUUUAGGACUUGUCUAAUUAGCUGAUCUUUGUGCUUUGGUCUGGAAAUCAUGAAUAUUUUAAAUAAUUAGGUUAUGUUGUAGUAUUACAUGAUUGCUUGAAAUAUGAAGUCUGUAGAGAUGUAUUACUAAAUAGCGUAUGUGUAUGCAUUUGUGAAAUCCAUGUCCAAAGCUUCUUUUCUGUAGCAGCACAACAGGGAAGUGAAUCUGCCCUUCCAAGUGGUCAAAUUUGCCUCCUUUUCAGUGCAGAACAUUCUGGAUUUUUAUUCAGCAUAUGUUCAUACUAUUUCCCCUCUCUUAUAGCAGCACAAAAAGACAGUGAAUCUGACCCUUUAAAUGGUCAGAUUCAUCCCUUAAAUAAUGCAUAAUAGUCUUAAUUCCUUCAGUAUAUGUUUAAGUCAUUUCCCCUUUCCCUCUUUCCUCCUUUACUGAAGUGAAAGCCCCCGAUUAAAUCAUGGUUUGGAGAUUUUUGCAUGUCCAUAAGGUUGACCUUGAACAUGUUUAGAUAUAUGGACAACAUUAUCGUUCCUUUAUUCACUUUAGUAUUAGGACUAACUUGGCAACAUUGUAGGUCCUUUCUGGAAAUAUGCUUUUGUGAGUCUGACCCUUCCCACAUUGUCGAAUUCAUGAAAAUCUUGGUUCACUCAAGGUUGAAGUAGUGGCAGCUUAGGAAUUUCCUGCUUUUCAUUUUGUUGCAAUUUAGUUUAAGAUAUUAAUGUAGUUCAUAUUUUGUACCUUAUUCAGUUCUGGAAUAUGUAAUAAAUUGGACUGGACCUUUAUAAACUUAUAGACUAGUUAAUGUAGUUGAGAAUUCAUGAUGAGUUUAGAAGUAACUGGUGACAUGAUAAUAACAGCUGUUUGCGUGGAUGUUUUGUUUUCCAAAUCAGUUUUGAGUAGAGAAGUAUCUUCGAGC